AAUGAAGCUGUACAAUUUUAUUUGUAAUGUUCUUGUAUGAGUUUACUCUGUAUACAAUAGUUUGUGAAACUCCAUGGCCAGUAAAACAAACAUCUUACUCACUUAAAGAGAUAGGGCCAACAAAUCUAAAAGCUAAAUAAAAGCACAAGUGUUAAACAAGAUGAAACAGGAGAUAAUAUUUGUAAAUAUUAAAGCAAUGUGUUUUAAUGUCCCUUUGAACUCAUGUUCCUUUGCAGCUUUCUUGGAGACAGCCCUGACACUUGUAACUAGAGAGCUGAAAAGAUCUGUUACCUGACUUUAUUUUAUUUUUUGAGACAGAGUCUCGCUCUGUUGCUCAGGCUGGAGUGCAGUGGUGUGAUCUUUCCUCGCUGCAACCUCCGCCUCCCAGGUACAAGUGAUUCUCCUGCCUCAGCCUGCUGUGUAGCUGGAAUUACAGAUGCAUGCACCACCACGCCUGGCUAAUUUUUGUAUUUUUAGCCAAGAUGGGGUUUCGCCAUGUUGGCCAGGCUGGUCUUGAACUCCUGACCUCAGGUGAUCUGCCCACCUCGGCCUCCCAAAGUGCUGGGAUUACAGGCGUGAGCCACCGUGCCUGGCCGUAGAGGAAUCUUUUAACACCCAUGAAAGCCGGAAGUGGGGCCUGUGAGAGAGAGGAAAUGGGUGAAAGUGCUCAGAAGCAAAGUCAAAACCAAGAGAAGGGACUACAGGUUUAUUGAGCGCAGAUGUUAGCAUCAGAGGCUGUCCCAACGACUAGGUAGUAUAAAGACAUUAUACACAUCACCACAAGCAGCUGGCAGGCUCUACCCUUACAUCUACUUACAGAGGAAUUGUGCGUAUGUGUUGGAGGGAUUCUGAGAGAGAUGGCAUUUUACCUAGAGAAAUGGAGCAUUAGCCAAAGGCACUGUGUAAAUUUAUUAUAUCGGACUAACUAGUUUCCUCACCCUACUCCUCUAUGCAUCCCCAUCGAUAUCCAGAAGAUGCUCACUCAAAAAAAAAAUAAUAAAAGUUAGUUCAUAGACAAAAUAAAGGAAAUGCAUUCCAAAUGCACACCCAAGUGUAGUGGAAAUAAAUUUGCAACCCCAUUACCAACAUAAUACGAGAAAUAUUUGAAGGCAUUCAGUAGCCGGGCUCGGUGGCUCACCCAGCACUUUGGGAGGCCGAGGUGGGCGGGUCACUUGAGGUCAGGAGUUCGAGACCAGACUGGCCAACAUAGUGAAACCCCGUCUCUACUAAAAAUACAAAAAUUAGCCAGGCAUGGUGGCGGGUGCUGAGGCAGGAGAAUCACUUGAACCUGGCAGGUGGAGGUUGCAGUGAGCCAAGAUUAUGCCACUGCACUCCAGCAUUCCAGCCUGGGCAACAGAAACUCUGUCUCAAAAAAAAGAAGAAGAAGGAGAAGGAGGGGAAGAAGAAGAAGAAGGAGAAGAAGAAGAAGAAAGAUGUCAACUUAAAAUCACAAGAUUUAUGAAUUUAUAAAGGAGAACUUGAUUUCUUAUGAUAGGUUGCAACAUUGCAAGCUGAGAAGUGGAGCCUCCGAUUGAUACUGAACACAGGCACCAUGCAGUGAAGAAGUCCAGGCCAGAAGGAGAGGCCACAUUCACUUCUGAAUAACAGCCUCAGCGAAGGUUCUAGGCCGUCAGCAGCCAACAUCAGCUACAAGACAUGUGAGCAAGCAAGACUGACUCGCCUACUCACUGACUCCAAUCCCAGCCACCGUCUGACUGGAAACUUCUUGAGACCCUGAUAGAACAACCAAGCUAAGCCCAGUCAACAUUCAGAGCCCUGAGAGAUAAUAAUAUUCAAUGAUCAUUGUUGUUUUAAGCCCUAAAUUUUGUUUUCUUUUGGUAGAUGUAGGGUCUCAUCAUGUUGCCCAGACUGGUGUCAAACUUUUGGGUUCAAGUGAUCCUCCGGCCUUGACUUCCCAAAGAGUUGAGAUUAUGGUGUGAGCCACCACACACUCAAUUAAUAAUACUACUGGCUUACUGGUUCUAUUUUUUAUUUUAUUUUAUUUUUUUUUAGACACAGUGUCUUGCUCUGUCACCGAGGUUGUAGUGUAGUGGCACAAUUAUAGCUAACUGCAGCCUUGAACUCCUGGGCUCAGUAAUCCUCCUGCCUCAG
rnacentral:lncRNA from 1 species